GACGAACGCUGGCGGCGUGCUUAACACAUGCAAGUCGAACGGCAAGGCCCUGCUUUCGUGGGCUGCCCGAGUGCCGAACGCGUGAGUAACACGUGUGCAACCUGCUCUUGUUUUUGGUGUAACAUCAGGUAACUGGGGUUAAUAUCGUAUAGCAUCCCACGCACGAUUGAAGGGGGUGGAAAGUUUCGGCGGGUGGGGAUGGAUUCGCGGCUUACCAGCUUGCUGGUGGGGUAGUGGCUUACCAAGGCAUUGACGGGUAGCCGGCCUGUGAGGGUGGCCGGCCACAUUGGGACUGAGAUACGGCCCAGACUCCUACGGGAGGCAGCAGUGGGGAAUAUUGCACAAUGGGCGGAAGCCUGAUGCAGCAACGCCGCGUGCGGGAUGACGGCCUUCGGGUUGUAAACCGCUUUCGCCUGUGACGAAGCGUGAGUGACGGUAAUGGGUAAAGAAGCACCGGCUAACUACGUG
rnacentral:rRNA from 1 species